rnacentral:tRNA from 21 species
GGAGGCGAUCGGGGUCUGGUGGCCCUCCUGGUCUUCAAAACCAGCGGCACGCGAACAGCGUGCGGUGGGUUCGAUUCCCAUCCGCCUCC